rnacentral:rRNA from 1 species
AGCUCCAAUAGCGUAUAUUAAAGUUGUUGCAGUUAAAAAGCCCGUAGUUGGAUUUCUAGUGGGAGUGAUCGGUUCGACAUUAACUUGUUGGAACCUGAUCGUCUCCUACCAUCCACGAAGAAAACUUAUCUGGCAUUAAGUUAUCGGAUUUGUGGUCUUCAUCUUUUACUAUAAAAAAAUUAGAGUGUUCAAAGCAGGCUUAUGUCAAUGAAUACAUUAGCAUAGAAUAAUAAGAUAGGACUAUGGUACUAUUUUGUUGGUUUGUGCACCAUAGUAAUCAUUAAUAGGGACAGUUGGGGGUAUUAGUAUUCCAUUGUCAGAGGUGAAAAUCUUGGAUUUAUGGAAGACGGACUACUGUGAAAGCAUUUACCAAGGAUGUUUUCA